AAGUCGUAACAAGGUUUCCGUAGGUGAACCUGCGGAAGGAUCAUUCAUAAUAAGUGUUUUAUGGCACUUUUUAAAUCCAUAUCCACCUUGUGUGCAAUGUCAGUCGAUCUUCUUCAUGGAGAUCGACCAAACAUCAACCUUUAUCUUUUAACUCUUUGUCUGAAAAAUAUUAUGAAUAAAUAAUUCAAAAUACAACUUUCAACAACGGAUCUCUUGGCUCUCGCAUCGAUGAAGAACGCAGCGAAAUGCGAUACGUAAUGUGAAUUGCAGAAUUCAGUGAAUCAUCGAAUCUUUGAACGCAUAUUGCGCUCUUUGGUAUUCCGAAGAGCAUGCUUGUUUGAGUAUCAGUAAACACCUCAAAGCUUUUGGAUUUUUUAAUCGAAAAGCUUUGGACUUGAGCAAUCCCAACACCAAUCUUUUUGAGAUCGGUGGCGGGUUGCUUGAAAUGCAGGUGCAGCUGGACAUUCUCCUGAGCUAAAAGCAUAUUCAUUUAGUCCCGUCAAACGGAUUAUUACUUUUGCUGCAGCUAACAUAAAGGGAGUUUGACCGUAUUGGCUGACUGAUGCAGGAUUUCACAAGGGUCGGCAACGAUUCUUGUUAAACUCGAUCUCAAAUCAAGUAAGACUACCCGCUGAACUUAA
rnacentral:rRNA from 1 species